GACGAACGCUGGCGGCGUGCCUAAUACAUGCAAGUCGAACGCAGUUGGGACGGGUUAGUAACACGUGGGUAACCUCCCAUCAGAGGGGAUAACACUUGGAAACAGGUGCUAAACCGCUACUGAUGGAUGGACCCGCGGUGCAUUAGCUAGUUGGUGGGGUAACGGCUCACCAAGGCCACGAUGCAUAGCCGACUGGAGAGGGUGAUCGGCCACACUGGGACUGAGACACGGCCCAGACUCCUACGGGAGGCAGCAGUAGGGAAUCUUCGGAAAGGGACGAAAGGCUGACCGAGCAACGCCGCGUGAGUGAAGAAGGUUUUCGGAUCGUAAAACUCGUUUGUUAGAGAAGCGGUAUCUAACCAGAAAGCCACGGCUAACUACGUGCCAGCCGCCGCGGUAAUUC
rnacentral:rRNA from 1 species